ACGCUAGCGGCAGGCGUUAACGACACUGCGAAGUCGCGGGGCGAGCGGGGUAGCGAUACCGCCGGCGACCGGCGGAAGGGUGCGUAACGCGUGAGCAACAUGCCCGUAGUCAGGGGGAUAACCGAUGGAAACGUCGCCUAAUACCCCAUAACAACAGUCAUCGCAUGUUGACUGUUUGAAAGUUACGGCGGAUACGGAUUGGCUCGCGUGACAUUAGCUAGUUGGCGGGUAACGGCCCACCAAGGCGACGAUGUCUAGGGGUUCUGAGAGGAAGGUCCCCCACACUGGAACUGAGACACGGUCCAGACUCCUACGGGAGGCAGCAGUGAGGAAUAUUGGUCAAUGGGCGCAAGCCUGAACCAGCCAUGCCGCGUGCAGGAAUGAGGCCCUAUGGGUCGUAAACUGCUUUUGCUGCGGAGCAAUAAGCGUUACGUGUAACGCGAUGAGAGUACGCAGCGAAUAAGCAUCGGCUAACUCCGUGCC
rnacentral:rRNA from 1 species